CGUCAGGUCCUCAUGGCCCUUAUGGGUAGGGCUACACACGUCAUACAAUGGCCGGUACAGAGGGCAGCCAACCCGCGAGGGGGAGCCAAUCCCAGAAAGCCGGUCGUAGUCCGGAUCGCAGUCUGCAACUCGACUGCGUGAAGUCGGAAUCGCUAGUAAUCGCGGAUCAGCAUGUCGCGGUGAAUACGUUCCCGGGUCUU
rnacentral:rRNA from 1 species